UAAUAAAAAAUCCCCAUUUUUAUUUAUUUUCCGAUUGAUCCGGUUUUGCAAUAAGGGUCGGGUUUUGCCGUUUCGGAGGUCUGUUCUGUUUAUGGCAGAUGUUACAGGCUCUUUGGGAUGUCUAUUUGCGGGAAUGAGGACGAAUUUGCUUAUCAUUUUUUUUCCUUAUAUCACCACUUCGGUAGUGUCUAGUGUGGCAAGCGGUUAGUUCGUGGUGCAAAGUGUUUGCUAUUUUUCUUUUCCAUCGAAGACUAGCAAUAAAAGGAAGAAAAUCAUGAAGCUGUCAUUUUUGGUGACCUGUUGGAUCAUUUGGCGAACAAGAAAUAAGUGGAUAUUUGAGGGCAUCACAGUCAAGAUCAAUAAAAAAAGGUUGGCGAAAUCAAAUCUUUAAGCUAUUUAUGGAUCAACAAUAGGUCUUUGGAUUGGCAUAAAUGGCCUAUGUUUGAUCGGGACCGCUUCUAAUGAAAGUUGUCGUUAAAAGAAGUGAGAAAACGUCAUGGAGAAUACAAAUACCAUAUAAAACAUGAUGUAUGUAAAUUAAACAAGAGUUAAAGGCGAUUUUAUUACUUGUGGUUUACGCCACUUUGUCAGUAUAGUUCAAAGGUUUCAUUUUCGCCUGUGUGUGCAAAAAGAUUUCACCAUUGCCAUUUUAGUCCACUGGUUUAACUUCAUCCAUUUUUUCUGUUAACG
rnacentral:lncRNA from 1 species